ACCCCUUCGUUUUUGAUAAGGCAUAAUGAGAACUGAAUGUUCUGCUUAAAAUUUGAGUUUUCAUAAUUGAGAAGAAUUGUCCACAGACUAGCUUCUGGCUCUGUUCAUGUCAAACUUGAUCGCUCCUCCUCCACUGUCCACGUACUUCGGGUGCUGGGCCCUGUACGACACGCUCCAAAUGUGACACCACCUCUGGCCUUGCUCCUUCUGGUCAUCACAGCUGGUCGCCAAAUGCCCACAACCACUCAAAUGCUGCAUUGCCUAAGGGGAAGUGUGAUGGAGAGGAGAACUUUCUUUCGCAGUUGAAAUAAAGUGCGUUUGCAGACUUUACAAGGAACAUAUGACCAGAUGCACCUGAGCCACAUACAGCUGAGCAAACAGAGACAAGGAGCCUGCACUGUGGAGUGACAUGCGGCCCUGAACAUGUACCUGGAUUGCCACA